rnacentral:rRNA from 1 species
GGCGGAUGGGUGAGUAAUGUCUGGGAAACUGCCUGAGGGAGGGGGAUAACUACUGGAAACGGUAACUAAUACCGCAUCCUGUCGGAGACCUGGGGGGGGACCUUCGGGCCUCUUGCCAUCGAAUGUGCCCAGAUGGGAUUAGCUGGUGGUGGGGUAACGGCUCACCUAACCAACCAUCCCUGGCUGGUCUGAAAGGAUGACCACCCACACUGGAACUGACACACGGUCCUCACUCCUACGGGAGGCAUGGGUGGGGAAUAUUGCACAAUGGGCGCCUGCCUGAUGCAUGCAUGCCGCGUGUAUAAAGAAGGCCUUCUGGUUGUAAAGUACUUUCGGCGGGAAGGAAGGUGUUGUGGUUAAUAACCGUUUUGAUUGACGUUACCCACAAAACACCCACCGGCUAACUCCGUGCCACCAGCCGCGGUAAUACGGAGGGUGCAAGCGUUAAUAAUUAAUUACUGGGCGUAAAGCGCACGGUGGCGGUCUGUCAAGUCGGAUGUGAAAUCCCCGGGCUCAACCUGGGAACUGCAUUCCAAACUGGCUAGCUGGAGUCUUGUAGAGGGGGGGUAUUACUUCGUGGUGUAGCGGUGAAAUGCGUAUAGAUCUGGAGGAAUACCGGUGGCGAAGGCGGCCCCCUGGAUACUGACUGACGCUGUGGUGCAAAAUCGUGAGGAGCAACAUGAUUACAUACGCUGGUCGU